CCAUCCUCAUGUCAAUUAUCCUUCCAGAACCUAGUCUUGUUUCCAUCCAUCACUCUUCAGUAUAUUUAGCCCCAAUCACUUUCCUCCAUAGCAGUUGGUUAUUGUUUGCAUAUUUCCACAACCAUUUCAUCACGAGAGCCUUACUUUGAAUUUUUAGGUUCUUUAUCCCCAACCCUCUAGUCUUCUUGUCAAUUGUCCACCACAGAUAGCACUACCCUUUUUCUCGCAUAUCUUUGUUCCUUAUUCUAUCUCUCCUAGUAUGCCCACACACCAAUCUCAACAUCCUCAUUUCUGCUACGUUUUAUCUUUCGAACAUGCGAGCUCUUGACCAGCCAAAUACUCUGCCCCAUGCAAGAUAGCUAGUAUAACAACCACUUUAUAAAACUUACCUUUAAGUUUAUUUUAACAAAAUUCUUAUACAUGGCGUGCUAGUUACUAGCUCUUUUGCAAGAGCUAAUUGGGACAAAAAACACAUGUUCAGAAAUUGAUUCAUCGAAAAAAAGCAUAACUGUAGUUUAUGAGCUUCAAAAGUGUCCAAAUGGAAAAAAAAUUAUGGUGGGGCUGUGUUGAGUGUGGAACUUAGAACCUCAAUGCAGGAUUUGAACACCCUUACUGUCGCACUCAGUGUUGUUUUUUGUGGCAAGGGUGUUCCUUAAAAAAUACUCAGAAACGACAGAAUUUGACCUAUAUAUAUAUAUAUAUAUACAAAAUGCGAUUAUCAGGCGAAUGUUGUUCAGUUAAUCACCCUUGGAUAGCUGUAGCUCGGCCGCAGCUUGGCAAUGUUUCCACCAUGCUUGUAGUUAUAUUCUACACAGUACAUACUAGCCCUUUUCCAUGUGGGACAUUAUAUCAUUCAUAUUCUAACACUUCCAUCCAGUAUUGUACUGCUGGAAGUUACUGAUUUCUACUCUCAGGGUACUGUUUAUGUUCUGUUUUUUGACUUGACCUGCUUUCAUGCUGUUUUCAUUAGGACAGAGGGCAGACGCAUCAACUGGCUGGAGAGAAUUUACACGUCCUGAGGGAAGAAAGUAUUACUACAACAAGGUUACUAGAACGUCCAAAUGGAGAAUGCCUGAUGAAGUCAAGUUGGCUUGUGAAAAGGACACCAUUUCGCAUGCUUCUGAUUUUGGAUCCAUUUCUGUUGUUAAAACAUCAUCCCCGGGUGCAGAUGGUUCAUUAGU